rnacentral:rRNA from 1 species
UACGAAGGGGGCGAGCGUUGUUCGGAUUUACUGGGCGUAAAGGGCGCGUAGGCGGCGGGUCAAGUCGAGUGUGAAAGCCCCGGGCUCAACCUGGGAACUGCGCUCGAAACGGCGAGACUAGAGUUCGGGAGAGGAGAGUGGAAUUCCCAGUGUAGAGGUGAAAUUCGUAGAUAUUGGGAAGAACACCGGUGGCGAAGGCGGCUCUCUGGACCGAUACGUGACGCUGAGGCGCGAAAGCGUGGGGAGCAAACAGG